rnacentral:rRNA from 1 species
GAUGAACGCUGGCGGCGUGCCUAAUACAUGCAAGUCGAGCGAACAGACCAGGAUUUUGCUCCUCUGACUUUAUCGGCGGACGGGUGAUUAACUCUUGGAUAACCUACCUAUAAGACUGUGAUAAUUUCGGGAAAUCUGCGCUAAUACCGGAUAAUUUAUUGAACUUCAUGGUUCAAUAGUGAAAUACGGUUUUGCUGUCACUUAUAGCUGGAUCCGCGCCGCAUUAGCUAGUUGGGAAGGUAACCGGUUACCAAGGCAACGAUGCGUAGCCGACCUGAGAGGGAGGUCGGCCACACGGGGACUGAGACAGGGCACAGACACCGACGGGAGGCAGCAGUAGAGAAUCUUCCGCGAUGGACGAGAGCGUGACGGAGCAAAGCCGCGGGAGGGAUGAAGGUCUUAGGAUCGGAAAACGCUGUUAGUAGGAAAGAACAAAUGUGUAAGUAACGAUGAACGUAUUGACGGUACCUAAUCAGAAAGCCACGGCUAACUACGUG